rnacentral:siRNA from 1 species
GGCCCCCGUGUGUUGCCAUC